rfam:Geosporobacter subterraneus DSM 17957 genome assembly, contig: EJ58DRAFT_scaffold00036.36
GAAGCCUUUAAAUUGGUCCAGAGAGGCCGGUAAGGAACUGGGAAGUAUAGAUAUCUAUCUAUAACUUAUUUUGUUGUAGAAUAAAGACCUUCUGCCUCUAUGGGAAGGUCUUUUUAUU